rnacentral:rRNA from 1 species
GGGGAAUAUUGCACAAUGGGCGAAAGCCUGAUGCAGCGACGCCGCGUGAGGGAUGACGGCCUUCGGGUUGUAAACCUCUUUCAGUAGGGAAGAAGCCUUUGGGUGACGGUACCUGCAGAAGAAGCGCCGGCUAACUACGUGCCAGCAGCCGCGGUAAUACGUAGGGCGCGAGCGUUGUCCGGAAUUAUUGGGCGUAAAGAGCUCGUAGGCGGUUUGUCGCGUCUGCUGUGAAAUCCUCAGGCUCAACUUGAGGCGUGCAGUGGGUACGGGCAGACUAGAGUGCGGUAGGGGAGACUGGAAUUCCUGGUGUAGCGGUGGAAUGCGCAGAUAUCAGGAGGAACACCGAUGGCGAAGGCACGUCUCUGGGCCGUUACUGACGCUGAGGAGCGAAAGCAUGGGGAGCGAACA